rnacentral:rRNA from 1 species
UACGGAGGGUGCAAGCGUUGUCCGGGAUCACUGGGCGUAAAGGGCGCGUAGGCGGCUCAUGAAGGCUGUGGUGAAAGUCCGGGGCUUAACCUCGGAUCGGCCGUGGCGACUCGUGGGCUGGAGCACUGUAGAGGCGGGUGGAAUUCCGGGUGUAGCGGUGGAAUGCGUAGAGAUCCGGAAGAACACCAGUGGCGAAGGCGGCCCGCUGGGCAGUGGCUGACGCUGAGGCGCGACAGCGUGGGGAGCAAACAGG